GACGAACGCUGGCGGCGUGCUUAACACAUGCAAGUCGAACGGAAAGGCCCUGCUUGCAGGGUCCUCGAGUGGCGAACGGGUGAGUAACGCGUGGGUGAUCUGCCCUGCACUUCGGGAUAAGCCUGGGAAACUGGGUCUAAUACCGGAUAGGAGCCAUUUUUAGUGUGAUGGUUGGAAAGUUUUUUCGGUGUAGGAUGAGCUCGCGGCCUAUCAGCUUGUUGGUGGGGUAAUGGCCUACCAAGGCGGCGACGGGUAGCCGGCCUGAGAGGGUGGACGGCCACAUUGGGACUGAGAUACGGCCCAGACUCCUACGGGAGGCAGCAGUGGGGAAUAUUGCACAAGGGGCGCAAGCCUGAUGCAGCGACGCCGCGUGGGGGAUGACGGCCUUCGGGUUGGAAACUCCUUUCGCUAGGGACGAAGCUUUUUGUGACGGUACCUAGAUAAGAAGCACCGGCUAACUACGUG
rnacentral:rRNA from 1 species